rnacentral:rRNA from 1 species
GACAGAGGGUGCAAACGUUGCUCGGAAUUACUGGGCGUAAAGCGCGUGUAGGCGGCCACUGCAAGUCGGGUGUGAAAGCCCGAGGCUCAACCUCGGAACUGCCUUCGAUACUGCGGGUCUCGAGUCCGGAGAGGUGAGUGGAAGUACCUCAGUGUAGAGGUGAAAUUCGUAGAUAUUAGGAAGAACACCAGUGGCGAAGGCGGCUCACUGGCCCGGUACUGACGCUGAGGCGCGAAAGCGUGGGGAGCGGACAGG